rnacentral:rRNA from 1 species
CAGGACGAACGCUGGCGGCGUGCCUAACACAUGCAAGUCGAACGGACUGAUUCUCUUCGGAGAUGAAAGUUAGUGGCGGACGGGUGAGUAACGCGUGAGUAACCUGCCUUUCAGAGGGGGAUAACGUUUGGAAACGAACGCUAAUACCGCAUAACAUAUCGAAGUCGCAUGGCUUUGAUAUCAAAGGAGCAAUCCGCUGAAAGAUGGACUCGCGUCUGAUUAGAUAGUUGGCGGGGUAACGGCCCACCAAGUCGACGAUCAGUAGCCGGACUGAGAGGUUGAACGGCCACAUUGGGACUGAGACACGGCCCAGACUCCUACGGGAGGCAGCAGUGAGGGAUAUUGCACAAUGGGCGCAAGCCUGAUGCAAGCAACGCCGCGUGAAGGAUGACGGUUUUCGGAUUGUAAACUUCUGUUCUUAGUGAUGAUAAUGACAUUAGCUAAGGAGAAAGCCACGGCUAACUACGUGCCAGCAGCCGC